rnacentral:rRNA from 1 species
UACGUAGGGUCCGAGCGUUGUCCGGAAUUAUUGGGCGUAAAGGGCUCGUAGGCGGUUUGUCGCGUCGGGAGUGAAAACACCGGGCUUAACUCGGUGCUUGCUUUCGAUACGGGCAGACUAGAGGUAUGCAGGGGAGAACGGAAUUCCUGGUGUAGCGGUGAAAUGUGUAGAGAUCGGGAGGAACACCGGUGGCGAAGGCGGGUCUCUGGGCAUUUCCUGACGCUGAGGCGCGAAAGCGUGGGGAGCAAACGGG